GGGGAUUUGGCUCAGUGGUAGAGCACUUGCCUAGGAAGCGCAAGGCCCUGGGUUCGAUCCCUAGCCCCG
rnacentral:tRNA from 1 species